AGCAGGGGCCAAGCUGAGCUGGAGAGCGGAGCCGGGUCAGAUCCAGCGGGGCCAGAGGCACAGCCCAGGGAGAGCAGACCCUGUGCUGGGAGCGGAGCUGCAGCCAGAGAGCCAGAGUGUGGGGGAGCGAGAAAAAAAGGUUUACAGAGCGGAAGCCGCACAGCAGCAGAGAUACCGACUGAGAGCAGCGGGAGUAUGAUCUCUAAUGUCCUGUGAAUGCCUCCUCUAAGCAGACACUGAUCUCUGUUUGCUUUCUCUGAUCUCUGUUCACUUCCCUACUGUGCUCCCAGAGCAGAUAAAGACAACCCCACUUCUAAACAAGCCAGAAGUUUGGAAGGUUUGAAAUUCAUAUUUGAAUUUUGCAACUGGCUCCUAUCAUCAUCAUGGGCUGAACCAAAUCCGUGGAUCCAAAACUGUGAGGUGCUAAGUCUUGCAUACAGUCCCUCAUCAAGUCUUCUUGUCUGAAACAGCUGGCAGGGGAAUUAAGCUGCUUGUGAAAGGGAGCAGCCAAUAAGCCUGGCUAAUGUUGAUCCCACAGCAGUGCACGAUCACAGAAGAGCAGAGCAUUCAUACAUGUAAAGAAACAGAAACAAGAUAACAGAAGUUAAAUACAUUGAGGAAAGAAAAAAAGAAAAAGCUUUUUGUUGGUGUCAGGUUUUGUUUUGUUUUGUUUUUCCUUCUUUUUUUUUUUUUUACACACACGCACUUGCGCAUUUAAAAUUUUC